rnacentral:rRNA from 1 species
GGUAGCAUAAUAACUUGCCUCUUUAUUGGGGGCUGGAAUGAAUGGUUAAACCAGGGCCCAACUGUCUCAUUUGUAAGAUCUUAAUUUAGAUUUUAAGUGAAAAUGCUUAAAUGUGUCAGAGGGACGAGAAGACCCUAUAGAUCUUGAGUUAUUUCUACCAAGAAUUGGUGGAACUUAACUUUACCUGGGAAGGGGCUCUCAAACACUUUAUAGAAUACGAAAGAUAGUUCUAAUAUGAUGAUCCAGUAUUUACUGAAUAUAGAAUAAGUUACCUUAGGGAUAA